rnacentral:rRNA from 1 species
GAUGAACGCUGGCGGCGUGCCUAAUACAUGCAAGUCGAGCGAACAGACGAGGAGCUUGCUCCUCUGACGUUAGCGGCGGACGGGUGAGUAACACGUGGAUAACCUACCUAUAAGACUGGGAUAACUUCGGGAAACCGGAGCUAAUACCGGAUAACAUGUUGAACCGCAUGGUUCAACAGUGAAAGACGGUCUUGCUGUCACUUCUAGAUGGAUCCGCGCCGCAUUAGCUAGUUGGUAAGGUAACGGCUUACCAAGGCAACGAUGCGUAGCCGACCUGAGAGGGUGAUCGGCCACACUGGAACUGAGACACGGUCCAGACUCCUACGGGAGGCAGCAGUAGGGAAUCUUCCGCAAUGGGCGAAAGCCUGACGGAGCAACGCCGCGUGAGUGAAGAAGGUCUUCGGAUCGUAAAACUCUGUUAUUAGGGAAGAACAAAUGUGUAAGUAACUAUGCACGUCUUGACGGUACCUAAUCAGAAAGCCACGGCUAACUACGUG